UGAUCAUGGCUCAGAUUGAACGCUGGCGGCAGGCUUAACACAUGCAAGUCGAGCGGAGAGAGGUAGCUUGCUACUGAUCUUAGCGGCGGACGGGUGAGUAAUACUUAGGAAUCUGGCUAUUAGUGGGGGACAACAUUUCGAAAGGGAUGCUAAUACCGCAUACGUCCUACGGGAGAAAGCAGGGGAUCUUCGGACCUUGCGCUAAUAGAUGAGCCUAAGUCGGAUUAGCUAGUUGGUGGGGUAAAGGCCUACCAAGGCGACGAUCUGUAGCGGGUCUGAGAGGAUGAUCCGCCACACUGGGACUGAGACACGGCCCAGACUCCUACGGGAGGCAGCAGUGGGGAAUAUUGGACAAUGGGGGGGAACCCUGAUCCAGCCAUGCCGCGUGUGUGAAGAAGGCCUUAUGGUUGUAAAGCACUUUAAGCGAGGAGGAGGGUACUGGCAUUAAUACUACCAGGUACUGGACGUUACUCGCAGAAUAAGCACCGGCUAACUCUGUGCCAGCAGCCGCGGUAAUACAGAGGGUGCGAGCGUUAAUCGGAUUUACUGGGCGUAAAGCGUGCGUAGGCGGCUAAUUGAGUCGGAUGUGA
rnacentral:rRNA from 1 species